rnacentral:rRNA from 1 species
UAGGGAAUCUUCGGCAAUGGGGGCAACCCUGACCGAGCAACGCCGCGUGAGUGAAGAAGGUUUUCGGAUCGUAAAGCUCUGUUGUAAGAGAAGAACGUGUGUGAGAGUGGAAAGUUCACACAGUGACGGUAACUUACCAGAAAGGGACGGCUAACUACGUGCAAGCAGCCGCGGUAAUACGUAGGUCCCGAGCGUUGUCCGGAUUUAUUGGGCGUAAAGCGAGCGCAGGCGGUUUAAUAAGUCUGAAGUUAAAGGCAGUGGCUUAACCAUUGUUCGCUUUGGAAACUGUUAAACUUGAGUGCAGAAGGGGAGAGUGGAAUUCCAUGUGUAGCGGUGAAAUGCGUAGAUAUAUGGAGGAACACCGGUGGCGAAAGCGGCUCUCUGGUCUGUAACUGACGCUGAGGCUCGAAAGCGUGGGGAGCAAACAGG